rnacentral:lncRNA from 1 species
CCCAUACUUUUUAACAAACUCAAAGCCACACCAAACCAUUUUAAACUUUGUUUAAUAAACUCAUUUCAAAAAAUCUAUUAGCAUUAUAUAUAGUAACCAUUUUAAACUGUCGCAAAUUAAAAAUCCAUCUAAGUCAUAGAGUUGAGUAGGAGUUGGAUCAUAAAAAACAAGAAAUACAAUCAACAAAUAACCAACAAACACACUAACCCAAAUUAUAUUAAGCCAAAAGCAUGAAUAAAAUAUAAGAAAUCAAUCCCCAC